CUUUGUUUUUAAGAACUCCUUUAAGAUAGGUGGAAUUGGCCUUCAUCUGUAAAUUACAAUUUUUUUUCCCAUUUGCCUUUAUUUUUUAUUUUUGUUUAUUUAUUUUUUUUGAGACAGAGUCUCACUCUGUCGCCCAGGUUGGAGUGCAGUGGUGUGAUCUCGGCUCACUGCAAGCUCCACCUCCUGGGUUCACACCACUCUCCUGCCUCAGCCUCCUGACUAGCUGGGACUACAGGCCCCCCGUCCCCACACCCAGCUAAUUUUUUUGUGUGUGUGUAUUUUUAGUAGAGAUGGGGUUUCACCGUGUUAGCCAGGAUGGUCUUGAUCUCCUGAUCUCAUGAUCCGCCUGCCUUGGCCUCCCAAAGUGCUGGGAUCACAGGCAUGAGCCACCACGCCCAGCCCCAUUUGCCUUUUUUUAAAUAAAAUUUAAUUUUGCUUAUGGAGCUUUAGGCAUAAAAAGCUUUCUAAAAAUUUGGCUUUAAUUUUUAUAUAGUUGAAUUUAUCAAAAUUUUCUUUCAUUGUUUGUGGCUUUUGAGUCCUAAAUAGAUAAAAAAUUUUCUUACUCCUGGGUUAUAAAUACAUUUCCCUCUGUUUUCUUUUAAAAGUUGUAAACUGGCCGGUGUGGUGGCUCACACCUAUAAUCCCAACACUUUGGGACGCCAAGGCGGAUGGAUCACUUGAGGUCAGGAGUUUGAGACCAGCCUGACCAACAAUGGUGAAACCCCAUUUCUACUAAAAAUAGAAAAAUUAGCCAGGCAUGGUGGUGGGUGCCUGCAGUCUCAGCUACUCAGGAGGCUGAGGCAGGAGACUUUUGAACCUGGUAGGCGGAGGCUACAAUGAGCAGAGAUUGCUCCCCGGCACUCCAGCCUGGGUGACAGAGUGAGACUCUGUAUCAAAAAAAAAAAAAAAAAAAAAAAGAGUUGUAAACUUUCCUUGGCUGGUUCAAAGGUAGAGAGUUAUCUCAAUGAUUUGUUGACUGUCAGUUACUGAUCAAACUCCUUGUUCUACCCUUUCCCCUCUUCUCACUACUGUAGUUGACUAGUCUUAAAAAAUGAAAAAAUAAUAAAAAAGAAGUUGUAAGGUUUCAUUUUUUAAAAUCUGGAUCUCUGGACCAUUCGGUGUUUAUUCUGAUGUUUGGUGUGAGGUAUGGAUCCACUUUUAUCUUUUUUCCAAAUGCAAUGCCAUGGUUCCAGCAUGCUUAUUAAGAAGUCUUAUGUUCCAGUGAUCUGAGACGCCACCUUGGCCAUGCACCAAAUCUUCAUGUGUACUUGGAUACAUUUCUGGACUUUCUAUUGUGUUCCAUUGGUCUGUCUCGCUAUUUGUUUCCAGGUACACCAUUUUUAUUACAGAGGCUUUAAAACAUUAAAAAAAAAAAAUUUAGAGGCCGGGUGCGGUGGCUGACGCCUGUAACAGUCCCAGGAAUUUGGGAGGCUGAGGCGGCUGGAUCAUGAGGUCAGGAGUUCAAGACCAGCCUGGCGAAGAUGAUGAAACCCCGUCUCUACUAAAAACUACAAAAAUUAGCUGGGCGCAGUGGCAGGCACCUAUAAUCCCAGCUACUUGGGAGGCCGAGGGAGGAGAAUUGCUUGAACAUGGGCGGCAGAG
rnacentral:lncRNA from 1 species